CACGCCCAACACGCCCUUCCUCCGUCACAGCAGAAUAUGGAAUAUCCGUCAUAAAACAUUGCUUUAAAAAAGUUGAGUGAAUGUUCUGUUAUAGUAGAGGAUACUUGUCUUCAUGAGAAGAUGGCUUCAUUGUCUGUAGGUGAGUGUAGCUGGUGCAUGAAGUCAGGUACAGGAGAGCAGAAUGAGUGAGUAACGUACUUUACUUAAAAUAAAGGCACAAGGUAACAAUACACUUGACCAAUAACAAUACGGUAAAUAUUACGCACGGGUGAAACACAGCACCCGUCGAAAAACCCAGCCAUCAUAAAUCGAACUGAACGAUAAAUAACCCCACAUGGGGGAAACAGAGGGUUUAAAUACAGGAACAAAUAAUUGUGAAAUGAAAAACAGGUGUGUGAAAACAAAGACAAAACCAAAACCAAAGGAAAAAGAAAAGUGGAUCGGCAAUGGCUAGUAGACCCGAGCGCCGCCCGAACAAGGAGAGGAACCGACUUCGGUGGAAGUCGUGACAUGUCUCUUGGCGUUAAGGCAAAAAAAUACUUAUAUCAACAAAAUGAUAUCAAAUCAUUAAAAUAAUACAUUAAUAUAAUUGUGUGUGUUUAAUGUGUAUAAUAGUUAUCUAGGAAUAAGUGUCUGCAAAAAAUAUUGUGUACGUAAGGUUUAGAGGAGUAUGCGAGUCAGAAGUGUAUGGGUCAGACUCAAACCCAUGUCGUCUCUGGUAGCCUCUGUACAUCUCACGGCUUUAACCACUGGACCACACAGGCCCCUCUAGUCCCCUGAUGAUGCUUUAACUGCUUUAUGAAAAGUCCCUGUUUUUCUCCGAUCACAGAGAACCAUAAAAUACAGCAACUGAUCUGUGGUACCAUGCAUAAAUGUAUUAAAGCAAUAAUGAACAACUAAUCAAAUAUAAACUUAAUCAGAUUACACUAUUCCUGUUUUUAUACAUCGAAGGUUUAUACAAACAAAUUAUCCAAUACGUAUAAUCCAAUACAUCUAUUUGUAAAACAAUUAUCUUAUAUUAUAUUAAAUAAAAAAGUAAUUCAUAUUUGUGCUCUAAGUGCAGUUUUAUGAUCAGAGUGAAAGCAAAGACACUGUACAGACUGUAGCAACUGUUCCUGUGUUCAGGCAAACCACUAAAUGUCACUUGAAGUCACUUGAGUACGUGGAACGACAAAGAGAACUGGGGUCAAAAUGUUUCAUAGCAGAAAGAUUUUUCACAUUUUAAAAUGACCUGUUGUUUCUUUGGGAAGAUGUAUAAAGUGAUCUGUGCAUUUGAAAAACAGUAUAAACACACCAAUUUCACUUUUGCAUGUAGAAUCACCACUGUUCUGUUAUUUUUAGAACAAGCAACACACAGCCAGCUCACGGGUCUAUCGGUGCCAUAAGCACAGGGAAGAAGCACAGAUAAGACAAGAACGCAAGAAGCACAGAUAAGACAAGAACGCAAGAAGCACAGAUAAGACAAGUGAAAACAAAUGAUCUCACUGGGGAUGACUUGGGCACAGAGACAUGUUUUUUUUUUUUGUCCUACCAGAUCGGCAAGAAAGUUCUAGUGUAUUCCUUCUGUCCUUCGACUGAUGUUGAAUGUAGACAAAGAGAAAAAAAUCUUUGAUAUGGAUGAAAAUUGAUUUUCCUAGUGUUUACUCUUUACAAACAUUUAACUCAGUAGGUUAAUACAUUUUUAAUGUACUGUAGAUAUUUUGAAAAUGUUCCAUGCAACAUCUUCCAGCAUUUAAUCUCAAGGGUAUUUAAUCUCAACAGCUAUAAACUAAAUGUUAUCACACAACUCUAACCAUUUUGUUUGGUUUUAUGGCUGUCAUAUAACCAAGGUCAGUGGUACUGUAUGACAAGUUAUGUAAUUAAUUGGUUCUACAGAGAGAACAAGGGAGACAAUGGCUGUGUUUCAUUCCAGGAAGAUGUUCCCUCCCUUAUGCUCUCAUCACCUCCUCACAGACUGGAUAUGCCAAAACAAUGUGGCAGGUUGUCUCAGAUCUGUGAUGUGGAGUGAAGAACGAGGGCAUAGUGAAGUGAAGAUUUUCCUGGAAUGAAACACAGCCAACACCUGCAUGGAACACUGACAAUCUAAACAUACUUUGUUUACAUACUUCAGUACUAGUUGAGUUAAACUCUAAUGGAAAGGAUGUAUGAUGUCUACAAGGACCAUAUAUAUAUAUAUAUAUAUAUAUAUAUAUAUAUAUGAGAGAGAUUUAAUUUUGGAACAUGCAGACACAUCACAUUUUCAAAAGCCACACCAAUCCUACCUCAUAACCGACAACCUUUAGACACAGCUGAACAGACUGUAAAUCACUGUGGAAUAUCCAUCAUAAAAAUCAAAUUCAGUUUUACGUUCACGUUCUGUCAUUUGAGUAGAGGAUACUGACUUCUAGACUGUGGAGUCCUUGACUAGAGGAACUAGAUUCAGAUGGUUAUUACCUGCGUUUUUUUAGAAGUCUGGGAUGGACUACAAAUAUUUAAUUUUCAGAAGGCUGAAAAAUAGGCUUUUUAGGUGAGCUCUGAUGCCGCCCUAUGAUAAGUAGUUCCCACUUUGUCAAAAGCAGGGACACAAAAGAAUGAUCUUGUCCAUUCCCAGCGCCUCUCCAGGGUGCUGUUAGAGAGACACAUCUCUGCAGCGCUCCACCAACGUUACGUCGAAAAAGAUUUCUAACAUAAAUCAUGUAGCAGAUAGAGGAUAUGGUAGAAAGAGUAUGUGGCCUUUUCUGUAGCCUACAGGCUGGAGAUAAAAAUGUAUGACAAUGUAAUGAGACAGAAACUUUUUACAUCAUGCAGGUUUCUCCGAUCAAAUAGGCUAACCUAAAUGGCGCCCAAUCAAAUAAAUGUGCUGACAUGUUAACAAACAACAUAUCCUAAUAACAGGACAGGUCAAAGUAAAAUGGACAAUAUGGAAUGGACAAUUAGGCUACUCACAACUGCUGUGUACGAGCUUCAUCUCGUGGGCUAAAUUGUCAUGAUCAGUGGUUUCAAGUUUGUAUCUGUACAUUUUUUACGAGCUGAUCAUAGUGAAAAAUAAAAUACUUCUGCAUUUCCCACUGUGUAAACACAUUACAAAUAGGCUUGUGAUAAAUCCAGAUAAAGUUAGAUAACUGAUAUUCAGAGAUGAAAUAGCCAAAUUGAUUAGUCACAGGAAUCAGGACUAAUAAAGCCAAUGCAAUUGCCUGUUUUACAAACGGUGGGCCUAUCACAUGGAUGGGAAUACAUAAAGUUCCAUUGCAGGAGACAUGGUAGGCUACACCCCAGUAAGCAGCAGGGGCGGCAGGGUAGCCUAGUGGUUAGAGCGUUGUAACCGAAAGGUUGCAAGUUCAAAUCACCUAGCUGACAAGGUAUUAAUGUGUCAUUCUGCCCCUGAACAGGCAGUUAACCUGCUGUUCCUAGGCCGUCAUUGAAAAUAAGAAUUUGUUCCUAACUGACUUGCCUAGAAAAAUUAAAGCACGGACUGACGCUGAGGUCUUUUGUUUGUAUCCAGACCGGCCAUUGUUUUUGGGGGUGUUUUAGAAAUGGUAGGCCUACCAUUCCUAAAAUUACAUUUCAGGCAACACUGUCCUCUAGGGCUUGAUUGGUGUCACACUAACACAUCUGAAACCAAUAAUCAACUAAUCAUGAUCUUCAGUUUAGAAUGCAAUUAGUUUAAUCAGCUGUGUUGAUUAGGGACGGGAAAAAGUGUGACACCACUCCGGCCCCCGAGGAUUGUAGAUUUUGGGUUCCAUGUAGAACCUUCUGUGGAAAGGGUUUUACAUUAACCCAAAUAGGUUUGUACCUGGAACCAAAAGGGUUCUACCUGGAAAAAGGUUCUUCAAAGGGUUCUCCUUUGGGAACAGCUGAAAACACUUUUAGGUUCUAGAUGGCACUUUUUUUUUUUUUAAAGCGUGUACUACUACGACUACAAUUAACAAAAAUAAUAAUAAUAAUGAAUGGGAUUUAUAUAGUGCUUUUCAAGGACCCAAAGUCGCUUCACAUUAGUUUUAAAGAAACGCAAGAAACCAAAAAUCUAAACAAAAACAGUGCCCAAAUAAACAGAAGAAAAACAGAAAGUAUGAGUGCAUGAGUGAGUGUGUGGAUAGUGGGGGGGGGGGGGGGGGGUUAUGGGUAGGCCAUGGUGAAGAGAUGGGUCUUGAGGUGGGACUGAAAUAGAGCGAUGGAGGGAGUUUCAGACUCUGGGUGCAACGCUGGAGAAGGCGCUGUUUUCAACGCUCCGGAGCUUGAUUCUUGAAAUGACAAGGUGGCCUGUAGUGGUAGAACGAAGGAGUGAGUGUACAAUAGUUUCUGCUAUUUAUUAUAGAUUUUAAAGACAAAAGGUAAAUCACAUGAAUAAUUUUAAAUUGUACCCUUAAGGUUCUCAUGAAUAUAGCAAGAAUCCUACGUCACAGUACUGUCACGUUCGUCGUACAAAGUAGACCAAACCGCAGUGGGAAUGUGAGUGCUCAUCUUCUUCUUUAUUUAGAAGUUACGUGAUACAGAAACACUGAAACAAAACAACAACGAAAAAACAGUCCCGUAAGGACAAAAUGGCUAUACGGAGAAACGACUACCCACAAAUCCCAAUGAACAAAUACCCCUAUUAAAUAGGACCUUCAAUUAGAGGCAAUGAGGAACAGCUGCCUCCAAUUGAAGGUCAACCCAAUAAACUAAGCAUAGACAUAGAAGAAUAGACACAGACAUAGAAAUAGACUAACAUAGAACAUUGCCCAAAAAACCCUGAAACACACUAAACAAACACCCCCUGCCAUGCCCUGACCAAACUACAAUAACAAACAACCCCUUUUACUGGUCAGGAUGUGACAGUACCCCCCCCCCCCAAAGGUGCAGACCCCGGAUGCACCUCAAACAAAAACAAAAAUAAACCCCAAAACCAAAAUAAUCCCAAACUAAAGGGAGGGAAGGGAGGGUGGCCACCGUCACCGACGGUUCUUGUGCUACACCCCACCCUCCCCAAUCCUCCUACUAUGGAGGUGGCUCAGGCUCCGGCCCUAGACUCUGGGAGCUCCGGACUGGAGGGCGACUCUGGGAGCUCCGGACUGGAGGGCGACUCUGGGAGCUCCGGACUGGAGGGCGACUCUGGCUGCGCCGGUUCCGGACUGUAGGGCGACUCUGGCUGCGCCGGUUCCGGACUGUAGGGCGACUCUGGCUGCGCCGGUUCCGGACUAUAGGGCGACUCUGGCUGCGCCGGUUCCGGACUAUAGGGCGACUCUGGCUGCGCCGGUUCCGGACUGUAGGGCGACUCUGGCUGCGCCGGUUCCGGACUGUAGGGCGACUCUGCAGGCUCCGGACUGUGGGCCGUCUCUGCAGGCUCUGGACUGUGGGCCGUCUCUGCAGGCUCCGGACUGUGGGCUGUCUCUGCAGGCUCCGGACUGUAGAACAUUGCCGGAAGCUCUGGACGGGGAACUGUCGCCGGAAGCUCUGGACGGGAAACUGUCGCCGGAAGCUCUGGACGGGGAACUGUCGCCGGAAGCUCUGGACGGGGAACUGUCGCCGGAAGCUCUGGACGGGGAACUGUCGCCGGAAGCUCUGGACGGGGAACUGUCGCCGGAAGCUCUGGACGGGGAACUGUCGCCGGAAGCUCUGGACGGGGAACUGUCGCCGGAAGCUCUGGACGGGGAACUGUCGCCGGAAGCUUUGGACGGGGUACUGUCGUCGGAAGCUUUGGACGGGGUACUGUCGUCGGAAGCUCUGGACGGGGACUGAGCACUGAAGGCCUGAUGCGUGGGGCUGGCUAUGGAGGCGCCAGACUAUUUACACGCACCACAGGGCUAGUGCGAGGAGCAGAAGCAGGAUGAACUGGACUGGGCUGAUGCACUGGAGCCCUGGUGCGUGAGGCUGGUACUGGAGGUACCAGACUGGAGACACACACCCCAAGGCUAGUGCGAGGAGCAGGAACAGGACGUACUGGACUGGGCGUGCGGAUGGGCGAGACCGUGCGCACUUCCGCAUAGCACGGUGCUCUCUUGAUCCGUCGCUCCUCGUAAUAAGCACGGGAAGUUGGCUCACAUCCCAUUCCUGGCCUAGCCAACCUACCCGUGUGGCCUCCCCAAAAAAGUAUUGGAUGUGCCUCUCGGGUUUCCUUGCCAGCCGUGUCCCAGAAUAGCGUUUUCUCCAAUCUCCUGCUGCCUCCGCUCUCCUGGCUGCCUCCACCUGUUCCCAUGGGAGGUGAUCCCUUCCAGCCUGGAUCUCCUCCCAUGUGUAGGAUCCCUUUCCGUCCAAUAUCUCCUCCCAUGUCCAUGAAUCCAAAGAGCUCCUCUGCUGCUCCUUCCUCCGCUGCUUUGUCCGUUGUUGGUGGGUAGUUCUGUCACGUUCGUCGUACAAAGCGGACCAAACCGCAGCGGGAAUGUGAAUGCUCAUCUUCUUCUUUAUUUAGAAGAAACGUGAUACAGAAACACUGAAACAAAACAACGACGAAAAAACAGUCCCAUAAGGACAAAAUUACUAUACGGAGAAACAACUACCCACUAAUCCCAAUGAACAAAUACCCCUAUUAAAUACGACCUUCAAAUAGAGACAACGGGGAACAGCUGCCUCCAAUUGAAGGUCAACCCAAUAAACUAAGCAUAGACAUAGAAUGAAUAGACACAGACAUAGAAAUAGACUAACAUAGAACAUUGCCCAAAAAACCCCGAAACACACUAAACAAACCCUGCCACAAACAACCCCUUUUACUUGUCAAGAGGUGACAAGUACAUAUAGGAUUUGGAGACUAUUGGUGCUCCUGAGUAGAAUGGAUCCCCAUUUUUCUGCAAGACAAUGUACAGAAAAUUGUGUACAGUGCUAUAUGUACAUUUAUAAACUGGGUGGUUCGAGGACUGUUUUUUCUUCUUCUUGUGUUUCUUUUAAACUAAUGUGAAGUGACUUUGGGUCCUUUAAAAGCGAUAUAUAAAUUGUCUGAAUGCCGUAUACUACUGGUAUGACAAAACAUUUAUGUUUAAUGUUGUAAUUAUGUUAGUAACGCCCCUCGGGGUUUGUGGUAUAGUAUAUGGCCAAUAUACCACGGCUAAAUGAUGUAUCCAGGCAAUGCACGUUGCGUCGUGCAUCAGUACAGCCCUUAGCCGUGGUAUAUUGGCCAUAUACCACAACCCUCAGGCCUUAUUGCUUAAGUAUAUUCUAUACACACAGCUGACUGCAUUUCAGCUGAUUCUACAUAUCAAAUAAAGGGCUGAAAUAAUAGUGUGUGUACUCUGUAGAAUUGGGUGUGUAAUCUCUGUAGAUUUGAAUAGACUGUUUGUUGUCUUGAGUAGGCCCUACUGGAAAUGGUUUUGUUGAAGGGAGCUUGUGCCCAAGAGCAGUUCUACCAGGUACUGAGAGAAGCAGACCCUUUCCUGGUAAAGGACCUGGAAGAGAAGACAUGCUGACAAGAGCAGGCUGGUGUGUAAUUAAGGAUUCCAAACACAACCACUGAAUUAUAUCUUAGUGAUCAAUAAACCAUUAUACUGUAUAUAUUUAACCAUUUAGGUAUGACAUUUAUUUAAUCAAAUACAGUAAAUGUUAGUCAGUUUUGUCACUUUCUUUUAUAUUUUGUUGUAUUAUGUAUUUUCUUCCGUAGCCUAUUCUGCUGUGUGACACUAAAUAACAUUUUUUUUAAUCAAGAAAUCAUAAUAUAUUUACUUAAUGAACCAUUCAGGAAUGCAAAUAUUGCUAUCAUUACUUUUGGGGUGUAAACUUUGGUCAGGGAUUAUGGGUCAUGAACCCAGAUUGAGUACAAGGGUUUGGGUCAUUCUUUAUUGAAGCAGAGAGGAGGAAGAAGCAAAGCGAAAGGCUCCACUCCCGUCAAAAUCUAUUCCUGCAAGAAUACAGAGAUAAACCGACCAAGUGGGGAUUUUUUGUAUAUACAGUUGAAGUCGGAAGUUUACAUACUUAGGUUGGAGUCAUUAAAACUCGUUUUUCAACCGCUCCACAAAUUUCUUGUUAACAAACUAUAGUUUUGACAAGUCGGUUAGGACAUCUACUUUGUGCAUGACACAAGUCAUUUUUCCAACAAUUGUUUACAGACAGAUUAUUUCACUUAUAAUUCACCGAGACCCAAAAUCCUGUGGGUCAGAAGUUUCCAUACACUAAGUUGACUGUGCCUUUAAACAGCUUGGACAAUUCCAUAAAAUGAUGUCAUGGCUUUAGAAGCUUCUGAUAGGCUAAUUGACAUCAUUUGAGUCAAUUGGAGGUGUACCUCUGGAUGUAUUUCAAGGCCAACCUUCAAACUCAGUACCUCUUUGCUUGACAUCAUAGGAAAAUCAAUCAGCCACGAAAUUUUGUUGACCUCUACAAGUCUGGUUCAUCCUUGGGAGCAAUUUCCAAACGCCUGAAGGUACCACAUUCAUCUGUACAAACAAUAGCACGCAAGUAUAAACACCAUGGGACCACUCAGCCGUCAUACCGCUCAGGAAGGAGACGUGUUCUGUCUCCUAGAGAUGAACGUACUUUGGUGCGAAAAGUGCAAAUCAAUCCCAAAACAACAGCAAAGGACCUUGUGAAGAUGCUGGAGGAAACGGGUACGAAAGUAUCUAUAUCCACAGUAAAACAAGUCCUAUAUCGACAUAACCUGAACAGUGGCGGUUCUAGACCAUUUCAACUGGGGGGCUAAGCUGGGGUCAGUUGUACUGUUAGAGGGGCCAGUUACAUUAGACGUUAUUGUUGUCAUAUCGUUUUCUUCACUGCAUUGCAGGCAUUAGCAGGCAAAAGACCAUGUUCAUAAUUAUUAGUGUUCCGUGUUGCCACAGUCUAAUUACGGAUGUAAAAAAAGAACGAUAGCAAAAAUUAGUUCUGUAAAAAUUAUUUCAUACCCACCCCCCCCCCCCCAGAACUGUCGGUUUUAGAUUUUAGUGAUGUUAUAUAUAUGCAGGCCUCAUCCACUACCCUGAGAGCACUUGAUUCAGUGUAUCAUGCAGCCCUCAGGUUCAUUACAAAUCAGAAACGUCUAACACACCAUUGUGAUCUCUACAGCGCUGUUGGCUGGUCGUCAUUGACCUUGCGUAGGCUUAAAUCAAAUCAAAUGUAUUUAUAUAGCCCUUCUUACAUCAGCUGAUAUCUCAAAGUGCUGUACAGAAACCCAGCCUAAAACCCCAAACAGCAAGCAAUGCAGGUGUAGAAGCACGGGGGCUAGGAAAAACUCCCUAGAAAGGCCAAAACCUAGGAAGAAACCUAGAGAGGAACCAGGCUAUGAGGGGUGGCCAGUCCUUUUCUGGCUGUGCCGGGUGGAGAUUAUAACAGCACAUGGACAAGAUGUUCAAAUGUUCAUAAAUGACCAGCAUGGUCAAAUAAUAAUAUUCACAGUUGUCGAGGGUGUAACAAGUCAGCACCUCAAGAGUACAUGUCAGUUGGCUUUUAUAGCUGACCAAUGAGAGUAUCUCUACCGCUCCUGCUGUCUCUAGAGAGUUGAAAACAGCAGGUCUGGGACAGGUAGCACGUCCCGUGAACAGGUCAAGGUUCCAUAGCCGCAGGCAGAACAGUUGAAACUGGAGCAGCAGCACGGCCUGGUGGACUGGGGACAGCAAGGAGUCAUCAUGUCAGGUAGUCCUGAGGCAUGGUCCUAGGGCUCAGGUCCUCCGAGAGAGAGAAAGAGAGAAAGAGAGAAUUAGAGAGAGCAUACUUAAAUUCACACAGGACACCGGAUAAGACAGGAGAAAUACUCCAGAUAUAACAGACUGACCCUAGCCCCCAGACACAUAAACUACUGCAGCAUAAAUACUGGAGGCUGAGACAGGAGGGGUCAGGAGACACUGUGGCCCCAUCCGACGAUACCCCCGGACAGGGCCAAACAGGAAGGAUAUAACCCCACCCACUUUGCCAGAGCACAGCCCCCACACCACUAGAGGGAUAUCUUCAACCACCAACUUACCAUCCUGAGACAAGGCCGAGUAUAGCCCACAAAGAUCUCCGCCAGGGCACAACCCAAGGGGGGGCGCCAACCCAGACAGGAAGACCAUGUCAGUGACUCAACCCACUCAAGUGACGCACCCCUCCUAGGGACGGCAUGGA
rnacentral:lncRNA from 1 species